CCUCUCGAGGCCAUCGUAACAACUGAACUGAUGGCAGUGAGAGAGGGCUGCAGGUAAGAAGACCUGAGGGACUUUCAAAUACGAGGAGGAAUCUGAGGCAGGCCUGGAAAGACGGGCUUCUGAACAGGAUCCUUCAAAUUGACUCCAGGGAAAAGGAUACCCAAGUGGGAACUUGGGUCAAGCAAGCCUGGGACAGGAAGCACAGCUGGACUGUGUGGAACUGGGACGUCAUUAGGUGGUUUUCCUCUCCAUCCAUCUCUUUCCCUCUGAGACCAAGUUGUCUUUCCUACCUCCCUCUAUAUGUCUGUCCACUCUUCUCCCUGAAGGCUGGCUUCCUCUACUCAUGUAUCACCACACAUGGCUGCCAGCAGCAAGUGCAAAGGACCUUCUGAUUGCCAGCACCCACCACCUUCAGACUGCCUCAGCCUUCCGCUACAUAGUUCAGAUUCCCAGGGAAAUAAUCUGAUUGGCUUGGCCUAAUUCAGAAGGAAGAGACACCCAGGACCACAGCUGGAAGACCCUCCAUCUCUUGGCUCAGCUCCUGAUGCUUACAUAGAAAUGGGCAUCAUUCAAUGAAUGACCAACGUUAUCUACAAAAUGCCGUAAGACCCAGGGUAAUGGUCACACACCAGCACUGAGCUCCUGCCUGAAUUAUAAAACACAGAGAUUUUUGGAACAACAACAAAAAAAACCUCAUGACGGUUGACAACUCCAGAGGCCAGGCCUGAAACUCCAAGCCUGUCCCUACCUCCCAUUCUGGAUGGACCCGCGGAAGGAACAAGCAGCUCUGAAGGUGCCCAUGAGCACCCAAUUCCCCAGCCUGGUGAUUUGGGCAGGAUUGAUCCCAUCGUCAGCUCCAGGGGCAGUGGACUGGUGUUGAAGAACAGGCAGGUCCAGCCAGGACUCAGUGGAUGGGCCAACACGUUUCCUGUCUUGUUUGGACACUGAGCUGGAUUUUCUGUCAUUUGUAAGCCAAAGCAUCCCAACACAUCACCCAUGCAGAGUUAGUGGCAGAUGCCACUUCUUGACUCCCUGUCCACGGAUGUUUCUGCCGGAGUAAAGUCUUUAACAUUACAAAAUAGAGAAAACUAAUCUAAAAUAUAUAUAUACAAAUGGGGGACUUCCCUGGCGGUCCAGUGGUUAAGACUCUGCACUUCCGACGUAGGGCACAUGGGUUCGAUCCCUGGUCAGAGAACUAAGAUUCCACAUGCUGCGGAGGGCAGCCAAAAAACAAACAAACAAACAAACAAAAAUGAACUUAUUUACAAAACAGAAAUAGACCCACAGGCAAAAAACCCCAAACAUAGUUACCAAAGUGGAAAGGAAGGGAGGGAAGGGAUAAAUUAGGAGUUCGGGAUUAACAUAUACACACUACUAUAAUAUAAAGUAG